rnacentral:rRNA from 1 species
CGGCAGCAGUUAAGAAUAAUCUACAAUGCACGAAAGUGUGAUAGUUUGAGCCAGAGUGCGUUUCAUUGAAACGCUUUUGCCAAAUGCAAAAAGUUUGGCGAAUAAGGACUGGGUAAGACGAGUGCCAGCCGCCGCGGUAAUACUCGCGGUCCAAGUCGCAGCCAUUUUUAUUGGGUCUAAAACAUCCGUAGCUUGCUUAAUAAGUCUCUUGUGAAAUUCUAUGUCUUAAACAUAGAGCGCGCAUUAGGUACUGUUGAGCUAGAGACUGGAAGACGUAAGAAGUACGUUUAAAGUAACGGUAAAAUGUGUUAAUCUUAAACGGACUAACAAUAGCGAAGGCAUCUUACGAGGACAGUUCUGACAGUAAGGGAUGAAGGCUAGGGGCGCAAAACGGAUUAGAUACCCCGGUAGUC